rnacentral:tRNA from 1 species
CGGGAUGUGGCUCACUGGUAGAACACGUGCUUAGUAUGCAUGAGGCCCUGGGUUCAGUUCCCAGCCUCCAAA